CCUACGGGAGGCAGCAGUGGGGAAUAUUGCACAAUGGGGGAAACCCUGAUGCAGCGACGCCGCGUGAGUGAGGAAGUAUUUCGGUAUGUGAAGCUCUAUCAGCAGGGAAGAAAAUGACGGUACCUGACUAAGAAGCCCCGGCUAACGACGUACCAGCAGCCGCGGUAAUACGUAGGGGGCAAGCGGUAGCCGGAUUUACUGGGUGUAAAGGGAGCGUAGACGGAAUUGCAAGUCUGAUGUGAAACUGCGGGGACCAACCCCGGAACUGCAUGUGAUACUGUAUUUCUAGAGUUUCGGAGAGGCAAGUGGAAUUCCUGGUGUAGCGGUGAAAUGCGUAGAUAUCAGGAGGAACACCAGUGGCGAAGGCGGCUUGCUGGACGAUGACUGACGUUGAGGCUCGAAAGCGUGGGGAGCAAACAGGAUUAGAUACCCUUGUAGUC
rnacentral:rRNA from 1 species